AUAAGAAUUUUCUAAUGUUUUUUUGUCAGAAAUAUACUACAAAAAAUUUUUCAAUCUUUUUUGAGAUAAUCAGAGUUUCUACUAUAAGUUUAUACUAGUAGUAGUAUCUGAUGUAUGAUAUCUUUUGUAAUGUUUACGAAAUUUGUGCUCAAGAUUGUUCUCGAGCUUCUUCUUCCAAGGAAUGUCAAUAUGUCGUGGCAAUUACGGAAGCGCGAAUAACGUAUAAUGAAGGACGUGAAUAGCGUGAAAAAAACAAUGCUAGAUAAUGUCAAUAUCAAGUCGACUAUGGCUCAAGAUUAAUCUUCUAAUUCGUGCCAAAUUAGGAUAUCAUCUACCAGUAUGAAAUUAUUUUCAUAAGCUGAAGGUUUAACAGUGUCUUCAUCUUCUUCAUCCUCGUCUUCUGUGCUAUAUUCUAGUGGAACAGACUGCUCAGGAGGCAAAUCAUUUGGUGAUCUUUUCAAGAUAGAUUUAGGUUUGGAAGGGCAGCUGCACCUGAAGCACUAUACUUUGCGAAGUAUCCAUCACCCAAGCAGGCAAG